rnacentral:rRNA from 1 species
AGUGAACGCUGGCGGUAGGCCUAACACAUGCAAGUCGAACGGCAGCACAGUAGAGCUUGCUCUUACGGGUGGCGAGUGGCGGACGGGUGAGGAAUACAUCGGAAUCUACUUUUUCGUGGGGGAUAACGUAGGGAAACUUACGCUAAUACCGCAUACGACCUACGGGUGAAAGCAGGGGAUCUUCGGACCUUGCGCGAUUGAAUGAGCCGAUGUCGGAUUAGCUAGUUGGCGGGGUAAAGGCCCACCAAGGCGACGAUCCGUAGCUGGUCUGAGAGGAUGAUCAGCCACACUGGAACUGAGACACGGUCCAGACUCCUACGGGAGGCAGCAGUGGGGAAUAUUGGACAAUGGGCGCAAGCCUGAUCCAGCCAUACCGCGUGGGUGAAGAAGGCCUUCGGGUUGUAAAGCCCUUUUGUCGGGAAAGAAAAGCAGCAGGUUAAUACCCCGCUGUUCUGACGGUACCCAAAGAAUAAGCACCGGCUAACUUCGUG